AUCGAACGCUGGCGGCAGGCUUAACACAUGCAAGUCGAGCGGGGGAAGGUAGCUUGCUACCGGACCUAGCGGCGGACGGGUGAGUAAUGCUUAGGAAUCUGCCUAUUAGUGGGGGACAACAUCUCGAAAGGGAUGCUAAUACCGCAUACGUCCUACGGGAGAAAGCAGGGGAUCUUCGGACCUUGCGCUAAUAGAUGAGCCUAAGUCGGAUUAGCUAGUUGGUGGGGUAAAGGCCUACCAAGGCGACGAUCUGUAGCGGGUCUGAGAGGAUGAUCCGCCACACUGGGACUGAGACACGGCCCAGACUCCUACGGGAGGCAGCAGUGGGGAAUAUUGGACAAUGGGGGGAACCCUGAUCCAGCCAUGCCGCGUGUGAAGAAGGCCUUAUGGUUGUAAAGCACUUUAAGCGAGGAGGAGGCUACUCUAGUUAAUACCUAGGGAUAGUGGACGUUACUCGCAGAAUAAGCACCGGCUAACUCUGUGCCAGCCGCCGCGGUAA
rnacentral:rRNA from 1 species